CGGGACCUGCGGCUGAGUGACAGUGGGGCGGGGUCGCCCCGCCCACCCGGGGCGGGGGCGGCCGGAAAGGGGCGCGACCAAUCGCAGUGGACCCCGCUACUUCCCGAGCCCCGCCCCCGCCCCCCGGGGACCGCGUCUGUUCGUGGAAAAUUUUGCUGCAGGUGUCAGAAGCCUGCGUUGAGCUCCGCUCAGGGUCUCUCUGUGUAAACCUGGCUAUCCUGAAACUCACUAUGUGGACCAGGCUAGUCUGGACCCCCCCAGAGAUCUACUUGCCUCUGCUUUCAGAGUGCUGGAAUCAAAGAACCCAGGGAACUCCCUCAGAAGAGGAGCCAGAAAGAAUGUAAGAGCAGACAGGAUGGAGGACUGCAAGAAAGCAAGGCCCUCUAAAUCAACAUGAGCAGAGCUCAUAUGAACUCACAGAGACUGAGGCGGCAUGCACAGGGCCUGCAUGAGUCUGCACCAGGUCCUCUGCACAUAUAUUAUGGCUUCUACUUUAAUGGGAUUCCUGAUGAGCAAAUGAAUGGGUCUUUGAUUCUUGUGCCUUCUGUUGGGCUCUUUUCCUUCUCUUACCCAACUUUGAUGUGAUAGUUUUUGUCUUAUUAUAUUUGAUUAUGUUGUAUUUUAUUAUUGUCUCUUAGAAGUCUCUUCUUUUCAACUGGGAGACCAAAAGGGAAUGGACCCAGAUGGGAGGGAAGGUGGGGAAGACCUGGGAGGAGUAGAGGGAAGGAAAACCAUAAUCAGGAUAUAUUAUGGGAGAAAGGAAUCUAUUUUAAAUA